AUGCACGCUGGCGGCGUGCCUCAUACCUGCAAGUCGAGCGAACAGAUGAGGAGCUUGCUCCUCUGACGUUAGCGGCGGACGGGUGAGUAACACGUGGAUAACCUACCUAUAAGACUGGGAUAACUUCGGGAAACCGGAGCUAAUACCGGAUAAUAUAUUGAACCGCAUGGUUCAAUAGUGAAAGACGGUUUUGCUGUCACUUAUAGAUGGAUCCGCGCCGCAUUAGCUAGUUGGUAAGGUAACGGCUUACCAAGGCGACGAUGCGUAGCCGACCUGAGAGGGUGAUCGGCCACACUGGAACUGAGACACGGUCCAGACUCCUACGGGAGGCAGCAGUAGGGAAUCUUCCGCAAUGGGCGAAAGCCUGACGGAGCAACGCCGCGUGAGUGAUGAAGGUCUUCGGAUCGUAAAACUCUGUUAUUAGGGAAGAACAAAUGUGUAAGUAACUAUGCACGUCUUGACGGUACCUAAUCAGGAAGCCACGGCUAACUACGUG
rnacentral:rRNA from 1 species